UUUAACUGGAGGAAGGUGGGGAUGACGUCAAGUCAUCAUGGCCCUUACGAGUAGGGCUACACACGUGCUACAAUGGCGCAUACAAAGAGAAGCGACCUCGCGAGAGCAAGCGGACCUCACAAAGUGCGUCGUAGUCCGGAUCGGAGUCUGCAACUCGACUCCGUGAAGUCGGAAUCGCUAGUAAUCGUGGAUCAGAAUGCCACGGUGAAUACGUUCCCGGGCCUUGUACACACCGCCCGUCACACCAUGGGAGUGGGUUGCAAAAGAAGUAGGUAGCUUAACCUUCGGGAGGGCGCUUACCACUUUGUGAUUCAUGACUGGGGUGAAGUCGAACAGA
rnacentral:rRNA from 1 species